UAAAAAGAAACGGUAUGAAAUAUAUACAAGUACAUACACUACACAAAAAUGCAUAUAUGUACAUAUAAAAAAUGUGUGCUUAGGAACAUAGAAAUAACAUUGAUAAUAAAUAAAUAAAUGGUAUAAUGAUAAUAAUAUAAAAAAGCAGAAGAAAAUAAUAAUAAAAUAGCUUGAAAUAGACUAAAUUGAACUGAAACGAAAAAAUGGGGCAGAUUUUGAAUGAAUUAAAAAAAAGCAGGACCAACUUGAAUGCGCGCAUAACAAUGGAGGACCAAAAAGGAAAUUAUCCCCGCCUUCCAAAAUGCUGCGCAGCGAUGGGCCAAAUUGAAACAAAAAUUAAAUAUGCGGCUCAAUUUAAAAAGAAACAAAUGAGUUUAAUUGAAACACAAUGCAAAAAAAGGGGGACUAAACGCGCAAUUUCCCCAUUCAGGCCAGAACGCGCGAAUCCUCCCCUCUGGGUCAGGUUACCGCGCGGGUCAAGGCACCAAAUGGCGCCGUUUUGCUCUGCUUUUUAAAACAGUUUUAUUUCCCAAAACAAAACAUUUGCAGCAUAAAAAUUUAAAACAAAAGGUGCAGCCCCUCUUCUCUGCUAGGGUUUCUUUCAACCCGCCCUUCGCGCCGCCGUUCUCAGGUGAUUCGGCCGAUCCGAAUCCCGGCACCAAAUUCGGUUCCGAUUCAGGUGAAGCAGAAUGGGUCUCAACGGCGAAACCCUGGAGUUCGUGUUUACAGGUAUCGUGGGGAGUGGUUGGUUCCGAAACGUGCGCCGAUUGGCGUCUUGCUGGCAAUGCUGGAGACUACUGGAGGGCUGAAUGCUGCGGCACCAAAGCUACUGCUACCUGCUUAGGGUUUCGGUGUUUUGGGGGUUUGGGUUAGUUGUUUGGGUAAUUAGGCUUAGGUUAGUAAUUGGGCUUUGUAAAAACUGGGCCGUUUAUUUUGUUUUUUUGUUUUGGUUCUGCAUGCGGGCUAGGGCAAAUAAUUGGUAUUAUAGCUGCCCCUCUUUGCUCGUUAUCGUGGAACGAGAAUGGAACAAGGACUUAAAAAGACCAAUUUUUUCCUGGUCGUAUGGACAUUGGCGUUCUUCCUCUUCAAGUAGCAUCGUUCCUUCUUGCUGCAUCUUCAGAGGUAUAGGAACUGGUGCUUCAAUCUACUCCACUGCAAUGUCAGGGAGAUAGGAUUCAUACGUUGUAGCUUCUCAAAAGAACGAAAUUUGCUAUCUUUAAUCUGUUCCACUGCGACUUCAAGGAGAUAAGACUUAUAGCUUCAACUUGUUCUGCUACAACUUAAAGAGAAAUCUGAUGCGAUUUGCUCUACUGCAACUUCAGAGAAAUGAGAUCUGUGGUUUUAAUCCACUCCAUUGCAACUUCAAGGAGAUAGGAUUGGUCAGCUCCACUGAUACUUCAAGGAGAUAAGACUUGUACCCUUGAUCUUCUUCGCUGCCAAUACAGGAAGACAAGGUCUGCUGUCUUUGAUCUACUUCCUGUCAAUACACGAAGACAAGAUCCUUUAUCUUCGAUCUACUUCAUAUCAAUAUAUAAAGAUAAGAUCUGCUAUCUCUGAUC